rnacentral:lncRNA from 1 species
AUUAAAAGAAUCAAAAUAGGAAACACAAAAAAAAACUUUCUUUUCAGGUGGUUCAAUCACACUAAUACAGAAAAGAGAAAAAAAUCUUCCUUUUUUUCUUUUUUAUCUUCUUCAUCUUCCUUUCCUUUCUCAUCUCCCACGUUCAACUUUAAAACAAAUAUAUAGAGAGAGAAAUGAAAACAAAAAUUGAAAAGAAAUCAACAAGAAAGGUCUUUUCUUUGUAUUUCAUAUUCUUUAACCCUAUAUUCACAUAAUCACUAGUUGAUCUUUAAUGAAUAUGUAGAUCUAACUUUUAUUGGCUAUGUUUUAUUAUCAUUUUUCACACUCUGUGGUUCAGUAAUUGACCAGAGACUAUACCAUAUAAGGCCUAAUCACAACUUAGUCUUCUUUUUUAUUUUUUCUUUAUUUAGGAGACCAAUUGUUAAAGAUAUGAACUUGAUAUUGUUUUUAUGGUUUUAUGUUCUUUUGUUCAUUUUGCACUUAUAAUUUUACUGGAUUGUAGUUUUUACAUUAUGUUUUAAUAGUUAGCAGUUUCAUGAAUGAUGAGUUUAUGUUGCCAUAUAGAGUAGUUUGUGAUGAUAUACUUCAUAAACUUUCACUUAUGUUAAAUUUGUAAUGAUAAAAUUUAUAUUGUAAAUUAAAAAUUACUUAUAAAACUGGGCAUUACAACAUAUGAAAGACAAAUUGUGUUACAUAUUUUACUUUUGACUCUAAUAUGAAUAUCUCAAUUUAAAUAUUUAUUUUAUUUUCUCUUUCUUUUUACAUGUAUAAAAGGUGAGAAUUGAAGCAAGAUUGAUUGCAAGCUAUGUGUCACCACAUUAUUGAUACUUUGGAAGGAAUUUUUACUUAUAUGUCUUUGUUUAGGAGUAAUAUUUUGAUAUAUUUU